GGCGACGGACCUAACACAUGACAAGUCGAGCGCACCGUUCGGUGAGCGGCGGACGGGUGAGUAACACGGUAGGGAAUAUCGUCCGUUUCGGUAACGGAAUAGUCGUUAGGAACGUAGGGGUAACUACCGUAUACGCCCUUUGGGGGAAAGAUUUAUCGCCGAAAGAUUAGCCCGCGUUGGAUUAGGUAGUUGGUGGGGUAAUGGCCUACCAAGCCGACGAUCCAUAGCUGGUUUGAGAGGAUGAUCAGCCACACUGGGACUGAGACACGGCCCAGACUCCUACGGGAGGCAGCAGUGGGAAUCUUAGACAAUGGGGGCAACCCUGAUCUAGCCCAUGCCGCGUGAGUGAUGAAGGCCCUAGGGUUGUAAAGCUCUUUCAGCUGGGAAGAUAAUGACUGUACCAGCAGAAGAAGCCCCGGCUAACUCCGUGCCAGCCGCUGC
rnacentral:rRNA from 1 species